CGGUCGCAAAGAUUAAAACUCAAAGAAUUGACGGGGGCCCGCACAAGCGGUGGAUUAUGUGGAUUAAUUCGAUGCAACGCGAAAACCCUUACCUGGCCUUGACAUGUAACGAACUUUCCAGAGAUGGAUUGGUGCUCGAAAGAGAACGUUAACACAGGUGCUGCAUGGCUGUCGUCGGCUCGUGUCGUGAGAUGUUGGGUUAAGUCCCGCAACGAGCGCAACCCUUGCCAUUAAUUGCCAUCAUUUAGUUGGGCACUUUAAUGGGACUGCCGGUGACAAACCGGAGGAAGGUGGGGAUGACGUCAAGUCCUCAUGGCCCUUAUGGCCAGGGCUUCACACGUAAUACAAUGGUCGGUACAGAGGGUUGCCAAGCCGCGAGGUGGAGCCAAUCCCAGAAAGCCGAUCGUAGUCCGGAUUGUAGUCUGCAACUCGACUACAUGAAGUCGGAAUCGCUAGUAAUCGCGGAUCAGCAUGUCGCGGUGAAUACGUUCCCGGGCCUUGUACACACCGCCCGUCACACCAUGGGAGUGGGUUUUACCAGAAGUAGGUAGUCUAACCGCAAGGAGGACGCUUACCACGGUAGUAUUCAUGACUGGGGUG
rnacentral:rRNA from 1 species